AUGCCUGGACUGUACCUUGGUCUUACAGAAUCGGACUCUCUGGGGGUACAGCCUGAGAAUCUGCACUUUCCAGAAGCUUCCAAGGUGAUCUUUGUGAGAACCACCAAGCAAGAAUUAAGAAGACUUGUAGAUCCCUGUUGUGUUCCAGGAGAAGAUACUAUCUCUGUCUUCCAAGGCUGUUUGCUAAAAAGUAUCUUUGAAAAGAUAACCUACAACAAAAAGUCAGUGUUCCUGCUCAGGAGAUGUGCGGAAAUAUGAGAGAACCAUGGAGAAUUGCCUGUCAAGAGCAUGUGGUAAGAACUGUUAUUAUUCCUAUGGAAAAAUGAACUCAUACUACAUAACUUUCUUCUGGUGACUUUAAAAUUGAUAGAAAUUAGAGCAAAUCAGGACAUGGACUAAGGUUACAAAGACUAAUGGCAAGUCAAGGAAUUUGAGUUAACAUUAGGUGACUAGACUCUCAAAUGUGUUUCACAAGUGGGUUUCCAGAAAAACUGCUGUCAGCAAUUGAUUAUGAGAUUGGGC
rnacentral:lncRNA from 1 species